rnacentral:rRNA from 1 species
UACAGAGGUCCCAAGCGUUGUUCGGAUUCACUGGGCGUAAAGGGUGCGUAGGUGGCGAAGUAAGUCGGAUGUGAAAUCUCCGAGCUCAACUCGGAAACUGCAUUGGAAACUACUUUGCUUGAGGGUCGGAGGGGGGACUGGAAUUCUCGGUGUAGCAGUGAAAUGCGUAGAUAUCGAGAGGAACACCUGUGGCGAAAGCGGCUCACUGGACCACAACUGACGCUGAUGCGCGAAAGCUAGGGGAGCAAACAGG